CUCUCUGCUUUCAGCUUCUUUACAGUGUUGCCUUGUGGCAUGGAGUUCAAGCAGCAUUGUACAGGGCUAUCAAAGCACAGA
ensembl:miRNA MIR107 microRNA 107